rnacentral:rRNA from 1 species
UACGGAGGGUGCAAACGUUGCUCGGAAUCAUUGGGCGUAAAGCGCACGUAGGCGGUCCAGCAAGUCGGGUGUGAAAGCCCUCGGCUUAACCGAGGAAGUGCAUUCGAAACUACUGGACUUGAAUACUGAAGAGGAUCGCGGAAUUCCCGGUGUAGAGGUGAAAUUCGUAGAUAUCGGGAGGAACACCAGUGGCGAAGGCGGCGAUCUGGGCAGAUAUUGACGCUGAGGUGCGAAAGCGUGGGGAGCAAACGGG